GUGAUUUUUUUCUGUCAUAUCGCCUCAUAUUACAACACAUUUUGUACCAGAAUUGACUUUUCCAACUGUAGGAGCUGUUACAAUAGUUUGUUUAAAAACACAUAUAUAUAUAUACACAAGAUUAUUAUUCUGACAUUUGCGUCUCUUUCACCACCCGUUUGCCAAAACAAAUGUUAUUUUUCCACAACAUUCAUGUGAAGCUUUAUUCCAUUUCAUUUUGUAAUUUCAGCUUGUUUUAAAAAAAAAAAAAAAAUUAAUGGUGACCUGAACCUAACUGUAACAACAACAAUACGCACACACACACACACACAAUGAUCAACAUUUUUCUGCUGAAACACGAUCAGCAGGUCUCAUCUAGUGAAUGAUUGUGAAGCUAACACCAAAGACUCAUUCAGCAGAGAACAUGAUCUCCAGGUGAUUUAAAACACCGUUCAUGAGACACACACACACACACACACACACACACACACACACACACACACACACAGAGUGGUAUGAAGGUCAAUGUGUGUCCUCCGAGGUUUUGUCAACUCUAAUAAUAGAGGGUAUCGGGUUGACAAAGGGGGUGGAGCUUCUUCACAUUCAGACUUGAUGAUCGUCUGAAUGUUUCAACGUCGUCAAUGGUCAAAGUUUCCCUGUUUGGAUUCUUGAGGAAAGUUUUUGUACCGUGGACAAGGUGAUAAUGCAGCGUUUGGGACGUUGCGGCUCCUCCGUACUUCCUGUAGAGCAGCUCCAUGCUGAGGAAGAGGAGGAGGAAGAAGAAGAAGAAGACUCACUGACGAAGGAGGAAGGAGACGAACAGGAAGAAACAGAGCCUGUUGUCACAGAAACGGAGUUGAAGUCGGAAACAAAGGCGGAGCCAACCAAGCCAAAGAAGCCCGAGUCCAACAAGUCUGAGUCUCUUCCAAAGUUCUCUGUGUUCUCCUGGUUCUUGGUCCUGGCUCUGCUCGGAGUGUGGAGUUCAGUGGCCGUCGUUUACUUUGGCGUCGUCGACUAUGAAAGCGUCAUCGGUAAACUGACGGCGUACGAUGCAGAUGGAGACGGAGACUUUGACGUGGACGAUGCCAAAGUUCUGCUUGAUGAAAACACUGUGAAGGAGCGCGCAGUGAGGAGGCUGAAGAAAGUGGAAAGGGGAGUUUUGAAAAGCAGAGCAAAGAUCAAAGAGGAAAACCAAAUAAAGUCCCAUGAAGAAGAAGUCAGGUUUCCUGAAGACAACAAAGAAGAAGCAGUAAACAGAAAAAAUGCCACCAAAGGCCGACCCGUUCGAGGUGCCGUGCUACGCUCGGUUCUGAAAGAGGAGCUAAGGAUGAUCCAUGAAAAGAUGGAGGCAAAGAGAAUUGCUCGCAUCGCCUUCGCAGAGAUCAGAGCCUUCCUUGCAGAGGAGGAGGAGAAUAAGACGGCAGCGUGGACUCUGAAGGCAAAGGAACUGGAGGCUGAAAUGGAGAAACUCCGGGAAGAUACGGAGAGGAUGGAGAAAGAAAGGAAAAGGUUAGAAGAAGAGAAGUUGGAAAAGGAGAGGAUAGAAAGAGAAAAGCUAGAGAAGGAAAGAAUUGAAAAAGAAAAGGCAGAAAUGGAACGGAUUAAAGCAGAAAAGGAGAGAAUGGAGAGAGAAGCUAAAGAGAAAGCUGAAAAAGAAAAGAUGGCCAGUGAGAAGAAAGAAGAGAUGGAAAGACUGGCUAAAGAAAGGCAAGCUCAGGAGGAGAAGGAACAACUUGAGCAAGAAAAGGCAAGAAAGGAGAGAGAACAACAGGAAAGGGAUCGAAUCGAAAAGGAAAGAUUAGCGAAAGAAAAGGCAAGACUAGAACAGGAGAAGGCAGAACAGGAGAGAUUAGAGAAGGAGAGGCUUGAAAAAGAAAGGAUAGCUCGAGAAAAAGUUGAGAAAGAAAGGCUUGAGAUGGAACGAAUCGCCAGAGAGAGGGAAAGACUCACUAAAGAGAGAGCUGAAAGAGAAAAACGGGAGCAGGAACGCAUCGCCAGGGAAAACGCUGAAAGACAACGCAUCGCCAGGGAAAACGCUGAAAGACAACGCAUCGCCAAGGAAAGAGAGAGACUGGAGAGGGAAAAGGUAGAACAAGAAAGACUAGAGAGGGAACGUAUUGCUAAGGAAAGGGAAAGACUUGUUAAAGAGAAGGCAGAGAAAGAAAGACUAGAGAGGGAACGUAUUGCUAAGGAAAGGGAAAGACUUGUUAAAGAGAAGGCAGAGAAAGAAAGACUAGAGAGGGAGCGGAUUGCUAAGGAAAGGGAGAGACUUGCUAAAGAAAAGGUAGAAAAAGAGAGAAUUGCCAAGGAGAGGGAGAGAAUUGAGAAGGAAAGAAUUGCCAAAGUCAAGGCAGAACAAGAACGGCAAGAAAAGGAACGACUUGCUAAGGAAAGACUUGAAAAAGAUAGACUUGCCAAAGAAAAGGCAGAGAGAGAGAGACUUGAGAAAGAGCGAAUCGCUAAGGAAAGGGAGAGACUUGUCAAAGAAAGGAUGGAGAAAGAAAGACUAGAGAGGGAGCGCGUCGCUCUGGAGAGAAAAAGACUUGUCGAAGAGAGGGAGAAACUGGAGAAAGAGCGCCUCACCAGGGAAAAGGCAAGAAUCGCUCAGGCAAGGUUAGAGAAGGAACGGACAGAGAAGGAAAUGGCAGCGAGGAAAGAAAGAGAGAGGCUGGAGAGAGAAAGGAUGGUCAGAGAGAGAAACAGAACCAACGUCACUCAGCCCAGAGCAACGACCGCUUCAACCAAACCCAAUCAACCAAACGUGGCAGCGAUCAGAAGACAGAAGGAGGGAGGGAAAAAAUAACAAAAUGGCUACAUCGUGAAUGUCACAAAUUUCUUAUUUUGGCUUUCGACACCUAAAUGAAAGUUUCUUCUUUAUUUGGUCAAACGAGAAAAAUUAUCAUUACAAACUCCAAAACCUGUUGAUGUCUGUUGGAUUUGAUUAUGUUAGAAUGUCUUUCUAUGGUUUCCUUCACACUGACAAUAUUUACAGACUCGUCUUAACGUUGAUUUUCAUGCGCUUCAAGGGUAAACGCACGUUUUAGCUCUACGAGUUUAUCUGCAUAAACAUUUACUGUGAAGUUAAAAGUUGAUUUCUUUUCAUCACGAAAGUUAAACUUCUGAAAACUUUUAAAGUUCUGGUGCUAGUCGGUAAUUACCUAAAUCUUUCUUCAUUUAAUAUAGAUAAUUUCUUUCACGUUUUGUUGUAAAUUACCUGACCUCUAGUUGGCGCCAUAAGUUUGAUACCUAGCUAUAUUUACCUUUGACUAACGUGGCUUUAUACAACAACAAUACAGUAUUUUACAUUUAUUUAGAAAGAAAAUCUCUUUCCAUCAUGCAGGAUCAACAGUAGCACCUCCAGGAAUAAGGUAGGUAGUGAAUGAAGUCAAAUAAAUAACCACAUUUUCUAAUUAUUAAUGAUAAU
ensembl:lncRNA aspartate beta-hydroxylase